UGUAUAAUGAUGAAACUCAUGCGUGUCAUAUGACUCCGUACACCGCUGGUGUGUUGUAUCUCUGGUUGGCGUUUUGCUGGCCUUAGUCCUCAGCACAGCAGGGUUACAGAGACGUGAUCAUACCUCACUUCUGAAUACA